CUCGAGGACAUCAUAGUGCGCUCUAUAGGACAGCGGCCGUCUUACACAGUCCGCCUGACAAAGAAAAACGCGCAAAGUAACGCAGCAGAAGAACGGCUGCCGUUUCUCCACACAUGCCCCGCUGUUUCUGCCAUCGAAAUUACAAUAACGGCAAACGGCACGACGCGACACCCGACGCACCUCCUCCACCCCCGUCAUGCGCCCCGUUUGACCACGUGAAAGUGUGGGGAGCAGAAGGGCCGACACAUGACGAUGGCUGCGACCGUGGCCAUCUCUAGUUGGCGGUUGGAGCAGGUUGGAGACUGGACCGCUUCACUUCACGGCGCCGGGCGGUGCUUCAUGCUUUGUAUCAUCGAUCGUCGUGUGACGACGGAUGGAAGGAAGGAGCUUCCGCCCGGAGGCUCGGCGGCGGCCGACCCGCUGAACCACGAGUAUUCCACGCAUGUCCGACGAUAAAAUUUUACGAGUGCGAGUGGCAAAUAACAGAAUGGCUUCUUGGA